AUUGAACGCUGGCGGCAUGCCUUACACAUGCAAGUCGAACGGUAACGCGGGGCAACCUGGCGACGAGUGGCGAACGGGUGAGUAAUACAUCGGAACGUGCCCAGUAGUGGGGGAUAGCCCGGCGAAAGCCGGAUUAAUACCGCAUACGACCUACGGGUGAAAGCAGGGGAUCGCAAGACCUUGCGCUAUUGGAGCGGCCGAUGUCAGAUUAGGUUGUUGGUGGGGUAAAAGCCUACCAAGCCGACGAUCUGUAGCUGGUCUGAGAGGACGACCAGCCACACUGGGACUGAGACACGGCCCAGACUCCUACGGGAGGCAGCAGUGGGGAAUUUUGGACAAUGGGCGCAAGCCUGAUCCAGCCAUGCCGCGUGCGGGAAGAAGGCCUUCGGGUUGUAAACCGCUUUGUCAGGGAAGAAAC
rnacentral:rRNA from 1 species